UUUUCAUUUCUGAUUUUGUUAAUUAGGAUUUUGUCCCUGUGCCCUUUAGUGAGUCUAGCUAAGGGUUUAUCUAUCUUGUUGAUUUUCUCAAAGAACCAACUCCUCGUUUGGUUAAUUCUUUGAAUAGUUCUUCUUGUUUCCACUUGGUUGAUUUCACCCCUGAGUUUGAUUAUUUCCUGCCGUCUACUCCUCUUGGGUGAAUUUGCUUCCUUUUUUUUCUAGGGCUUUUAGAUGUGUUGUCAAGCUGCUAGUAUGUGCUGUCUCCCGUUUCUUCUUGGAGGCACUCAGAGCUAUGAGUUUCCCUCUUAGAAAUGCUUUCAUUGUGUCCCAUAGGUUUGGGUACGUUGUGGCUUCAUUUUCAUUAAACUCUAAAAAGUCUUUAAUUUCUUUCUUUAUUCCUUCCUUGACCAAGGUAUCAUUGAGAAGAGUGUUAUUCAGUUUCCACGUGAAUGUUGGCUUUCCAUUAUUUAUGUUGUUAUUGAAGAUCAGUCUUAGGCCAUGGUGGUCUGAUAGGAUACAUGGGACAAUUUCAAUAUUUUUGUAUCUAUUGAGGCCUGUUUUGUGACCAAUUAUAUGGUCAAUUUUGGAGAAGGUCUCGUGAGGUGCUGAGAAGAAGGUAUAUCCUUUUGUUUUAGGAUAAAAUGUUCUGUAGAUAUCUGUCAGGUCCAUUUGUUUCAUAACUUCUGUGAGUUUCACUGUGUCCCUGUUUAGUUUCUGUUUCCACGAUCUGUCCUUUGAAGAAAGUGGUGUGUUGAAGUCUCCCACUAUUAUUGUGUGAGGUGCAAUGUAUGCUUUGAGCUUUACUAAAUAACUUCUCUAAGAUCGGAAGAGC
rnacentral:lncRNA from 1 species